UACGGGGGGGGCAAGCGUUGUUCGGAAUUACUGGGCGUAAAGGGCUCGUAGGUGGCCAACUAAGUCAGACGUGAAAUCCCUCGGCUCAACCGGGGAACUGCGUCUGAUACUGGCGGGCUUGAGUUCGGGAGAGGGAUGCGGAAUUCCAGGUGUAGCGGUGAAAUGCGUAGAUAUCUGGAGGAACACCGGUGGCGAAGGCGGCAUCCUGGACCGAGACUGACACUGAGGAGCGAAAGCCAGGGGAGCAAACGGG
rnacentral:rRNA from 1 species